rnacentral:rRNA from 1 species
AUGGAGGUGCAGGCCCAAGUACUUCGAAUCAUCAACAAGAAAUCCAAGAAAGAACAGCGAAGGAAAAACGUGACAAGAAAAGUGUUUUCUCGACUCGAGAUGUUAGAAGGUGAUAAAUCAAUAGGUGCUGGAGCUGCUGUCGGUAUUGGAAAUGUCCUCAAUUCUUUGAUUCAUUCCGUGGCGCGAAAUCCAUCAUUGGCUAAACAAUCAUUUGGUUAUGCCAUUUAG